UGGGUUGCUAACUCAACGGUAGAGUACUCGGCUUUUAACCGACUAGUUCUGGGUUCGAGUCCCGGGCAACCCAU
rnacentral:tRNA from 2 species